rnacentral:rRNA from 1 species
CAGCCGCCACGGUAAAACGUAGGGUGCGAGCGUUAACCGGAAUUACUGGGCGUAAAGCGUGCGCAGGCGGCUUUGCAAGACAGAUGUGAAAUCCCCGGGCUCAACCUGGGAACUGCAUUUGUGACUGCAAGGCUAGAGUGCGGCAGAGGGAGAUGGAAUUCCGCGUGUAGCAGUGAAAUGCGUAGAUAUGCGGAGGAACACCGAUGGCGAAGGCAAUCUCCUGGGCCUGCACUGACGCUCAUGCACGAAAGCGUGGGGAGCAAACAGGAUUAGAUACCCGCGUAGUCCCUGUCUCUUAUAC